GACGAACGCUGGCGGCGUGCUUAACACAUGCAAGUCGAACGGAAAGGCCCUGCUUUUGUGGGGUGCUCGAGUGGCGAACGGGGGAGUAACACGUGAGUAACCUGCCCUUGACUUUGGGAUAACUUCAGGGAACUGGGGCUAAUACCGGAUAGGAUCUCCUGCUGCAUAGUGGGGGUUGGAAAGUUUCGGCGGUUGGGGAUGGACUCGCGGCUUAUCAGCUUGUUGGUGGGGUAGUGGCUUACCAAGGCUUUGACGGGUAGCCGGCCUGAGAGCGUGAACGGCCACAUUGGGACUGAGAUACGGACCAGACUGCUACGGGAGGCAGUAGUGGGGAAUAUUGCACAACGGGCGGAAGCCUGAGGCAGAAACGCUGCGUGCGGGAUGACGGCCUUCUGGUUGUAAACCGCUGUCGAAUUUGACGAAGCGUUAGUGACGGUAAUGGGUAAAGAAGCACCGGCUAACUACGUG
rnacentral:rRNA from 1 species